rnacentral:rRNA from 1 species
UACAGAGGUCCCAAGCGUUGUUCGGAUUUACUGGGCGUAAAGGGUGCGUAGGUGGCGGGGUAAGUCGGAUGUGAAAUCUCCAGGCUCAACCUGGAAAUGGCAUUGGAAACUACCUUGCUGGAGAGUUGGAGGGGGGACUGGAAUACUUGGUGUAGCAGUGAAAUGCGUAGAUAUCAGGAAGAACACCCGUGGCUAAGGCGGUUCUCUAGUACGGUACUGACGCUGAGACGCGAAAGCGUGGGGAGCGAACAGG